GAGGACAUAGCUCACAGUAGAGCACAUGCUUAGCAUGCACAAGGUCCUGGGUUCAAUCCCCAGUACCUCCA
rnacentral:tRNA from 1 species